CGUAGGGACCGAGCGUUGUCCGGAUUCAUUGGGCGUAAAGAGCUCGUAGGCGGCCACUCAAGUCGAAUGUGAAACCUCGAGGCUUAACCUCGAGCCUGCAUUCGAUACUGGGCGGCUAGAGUCUGGUAGGGGGAUCUGGAAUUCCUGGUGUAGCGGUGGAAUGCGCAGAUAUCAGGAGGAACACCGGUGGCGAAAGCGGGAUCCUGGGCCAGUACUGACGCUGAGGAGCGAAAGCGUGGGGAGCAAACAGGAUUAGAUACCCUGGUAGUCCACGCCGUAAACGAUGGGCGCUAGGUGUGGGAGGUCAUCGACUCCUUCCGUGCCGCAGCUAACGCAUUAAGCGCCCCGCCUGGGGAGUACGGCCGCAAGGCUA
rnacentral:rRNA from 1 species